ACACGGAAAUGUAUUUUCCUGGCUGCAGCACCUGCCAUCUUGCCUCGGUAGGACUCAUUUUCAAAAACAGCAGCUUCUUGAAGCCCCAGAACGCAUUCCUGUGCUACGGAAGACGGAAGAGUAGCUCUCGGGGUCAGAAGGCGAAGAGAUGGGAUUUCGCCAUGUUGCCCAGGCUGAUCUUGAACUCCUGGGCUGAAGAUAUCCACCCUCCUCGGCCUCCCAAUGUGCUGGGAUUACAGGCCUGAGCCACCAUGCCUGGCCCAAGUGUUCAUUGAUGAUGAGAGAUGGGCUUUUCGCAUCAAAUCACAAAAAUAUGCUGAGUAAUGUGAGGAUUCUUGCUUUUCUGGAAGCUAACACAUAGUCAGUGCCAAAGUAGUGACAGAAGAAAUCUUGAGAGGAAGCAUUUUUGUCUUGUACUUGAAACAGCUGCUGGGCCCACCAUGGCUCCUGUGAAGAUCAGCCAUGUGGUAUCAUUUUCUUCUCAGGAUCCCAAGUAUCCUGUAGAGAACUUGCUAAACCCAGAUAGUCCAAGGAGACCUUGGCUCGGCUGCCCUCAGGACAAGAGUGGGCAAUUGAAAGUAGAACUAC
rnacentral:lncRNA from 10 species